GCAACACGUGCGGGAUUGGAGGACACAACACAGGUCAGAGACCCAGUUCCACAGGCAGGAAUGAGGGUGAGGAGCUGGAAGCUGCAGAGACUGUCUUCAAAAGAAAAUUCCCCUUUCCUCUGCAUGGCAUCGGCUGGCUAGAAGCUUAUAAAAGAUGCACCGCUGUGAAAACACAAAAUAGGGACACCUCGGCUUCUCUGCAUUAAGGUAAUUGUCAGCGUCCUGACAACAGUUCCUCCAUUUUUCUGAUGCUGCACUAACACAAGAAGACAAGCUCCAAAGGUCAGCGGCUGAGUAAAAGCCAGCUUUAACUGUAUUCUUACUUUCCGUGUCCGAGGGAGGAAAUGAUGGAGCGAUGAUGAAUAUGGGAUGUGUUUGGAGAAGCCAAAGCCUUUCUCCAGCAAAAAUAAACCUCCAUGUUUCUGUGGAUGAUGGAAGACACGCUUUUCAGCUGACUGAACAUGCAAAAUGUCAUCAGUUUUUCCUUUGUGUCCUUAAGCAGAAAUCUGCUUGGUUUUCUAAAGAGCGUAAUCACGGUCGAUGGUUUAUUCAAAGCGUUUAAUGUUUGUGUAACUAUGGGAAAUCCCUUGAUUGGAUCAUUAAUAUAGCUGACAAAAGGGUGUUAAAUCCAUUAUGUGACUGUAACAUUUUUGACAAGUGUUUGAAAGUUGCUUGAUGGAUGUGUUCCUUGCAUAUGGAAAGCUGUGCUUUCACACAUGGCUGUGGGCGCUUCACGAAUGAACGUGAAUCCAGCGUAGCAGCGCUGAUGUCCGCGGCCUUCAACCAGAACGGGCCCCGGACAACGCCGCGGCACAUGGCGUGCAGCUGUGUAGAAGUGGACGCUUUUUCUUUUUUUCUUUUUAACACAAACAAGUGUCUACAGCAGGCUGAUCUGUUUCUGCUCAUGUGUGAGGCCAUGAGCCCAGCUCACGUCGGAGUUCAAAGCAGAGCAGGUGGGGCCGUCUCUGGGAUUCAACAUGGAGACACACAGCUGGACAGUCUAAGGAAAAGACAUUCAAACAGGGAAAAGACCCUCCGUCACGUAAGAAAAAGAUGGAUGACCCUGAACAUAUCAGAGAAGCAUUUGAUCAAGAUGAUGUAUCAAAUGCAGAUUACACCUAAUGAAGGAGACCAUAAUUUCAGGUGAAGAUGAACAUACUUGCAAACAAAUUUCUCAAUUCUCCUUUUUAUUGGAAAGAAAACUUUCCUUAAACGUUUUGAGCUCUAAAAAGUACCCAAAAAUAAAUUACUAAUAAAAUCUCUGCUAUUUUUUAGUUUAUGUUCAAACUCUUUAACUCUAUCACAAAAGAGCAAACAAAGCCUUACAAACCAAUGAAGCAACAUCAUCGAACUCAACUUUAACAGAACACAUGACUUCAGAUUCAACUUUGCUAUUUUGCUCAUGAAGUUGUAAUUUAGCUGCUAAUAAAGAUUAAAAGAGGAAAAAAUUAUUUGCAACUUUGUUAUUUUUUGUUAAAAUACCACAUUUAAACUUAAAAGCUUGUUCUGUGUUUAUCAAGAACACAAGAUAAGUUCCUAUAUGAGAACUGGAUUUAAGAUCAUUAGUUGGAAUAGUUGAGUUUGUUCGUUAAAUAUUUUUUAUGUUGACCUCAAAAGAUGAAAGAAAAAUGUAGUUUUUAAGCUUUAUCUUAAAUUUUGCAUAUAGUAAUUUUUAAGUUUCUGUUAAAGAACAGCUCCUGGCACUUUCUGUUAAGCUCAAACAUAUAACCUCUUGCUUUAUAAUCUCAUUU